GAAGAUGAGGUAUAUGGAAACAAAGAAAGAUGCAGACAUAGAAAAAUGUGUUUUUAAUACAAAUUUAAUCUUACUAUACUUUGCAACUUUUUUUAUUGACAAUAUGUUAGGGACAGCAAUCCAUACAGUAUUCAUAUACAGGGCUAUCUCAUAGCUGGGUUAAUAUUUCAUUGUAUGUCUACUUACCAUAAUUUAUUCAUUCAUAGCCCUAUUGAUAGAUUUUUAUGUUGUUUCCAAUUUUUAUCCCCUACAAACAAUGUUUCAAUGAACACUCUUAAACAUGUGAAAUAUAUCCCUUUAGGAUACAUACACCACAUUUCAUUUCCCAAGUGGAAAGAUUAUAUCCUUUUAACAGUUUGAUAGAAACUGCCAAAAUGCCCUCCAGUAUAUCAUAUCUACAUAUUGACACUGUUACCAACAACAGAAUUUCCUUUGUUCCUCUACUCGCAAACACAUGAUGUUAUGAAUAUUUUAAAUAUUUGCCAAUAUGCUUAGGCAAAAACAUAACUUGUCAUUGAUUUGUCUUUCCUUAAUCAAUAGUUAAGUUUGGUUCAUUUUCAUAACUUUAUUAUCAGCUUAUUCUUUUUUCUGGUAGUAAUUGCUUUAGUGUUCAUCUUGUUUGAGUAAUUCUAACGCCAGGGGUGUCACUAUGAACUCAGGAGUGCUUUUAAAUGAAUUUGCAUUUAAUUCAUCGCAAGACUAGCUAUAUGCUUUUUUGAAAAUAAUACAUAUAUGGUUGAAGAUGAUUUAGCCAAUUUAUAGAUAAUGCCCCAUGCAUUGAUGGAUACUGUUUUAGAACAAAGAUUGGACAUAAUAUGUAAUCAUUUUGUACAUAUAAAUCCAAUCUUAAACCACACUUAUAGGGGCAAAGUACUGAAGAAUCCUGAAAUGACAUCUGAGUCAUCAAAAAUCAAUAUUUUUCAUUGACAUUUUAGUGCUGAAUGUUUAGGACAGUUUUAGUACUUCAAUUUUUUAAAUAUUGAUUGUCCAUGUACAGUGUGCAUAAAUGAGAGUGACUACUUAGCAAAGUAGAGGUCAGGAAAACAGACUCUGUGAGAUUUGCUCAGAGGCUUAGGCUCAAAGUCUCAAAGAAAUCAGCCUUUAAAUUGAGAAAUAGUUACACCCAGGAGAGGUCUUCUGCUGCAAAUAAAGAGGAUAGGGGUAGCUCCUGCUAGAAAAAUACCUUGGACCAAUAAAAAAUAGUAAUAUUAAUGAUUAUUAGAACAAAUGCUUAUAGGAGCACCUGGGUGGUUCUGUCAGUUAAGCAUCUGACUCUUGAUUUCAGCUCAGGUCAUGGAUCUUAAGGGCUUAAGGUUUGACUGCAUUGGAGUCUGCCUGUCUGUCUCCCUCUGCUCCUCUCCCCACUUGCACACGCGCUUUCUCUCUGUCAAAUAAAUAAGUAAUGAUAAAAUCUUUUUUUAAAAAAAAAAGGGAAGAAAAAAGAAACAGAACACUUGUAUACCUAAGUGCUUUACAGACAUUAUCUCGCUUAAAGCAAUAAAUAAUGUGAGAAGUAAGUACUCUGAUUACACCAUCUUAUAGACAAGAAAACCAAGGCACAAAAAAGUUAAGUAAAACAUUGAAUGAUUGGAUGAACUGCCUGUAGAGACUGACCACUUCUCUCCACAAUAGGAAACUGCCUCCAUUGCCAAUAACAUUGAGUUCUAACAGAACACUCUGUGCAGUUCAUGAUACUCCGUGAAAGGAUUGGACCCCAGUAAUGAUGCGUCUGACACAUGGAUUUGGGAAACUGAGAUACAGAAAUCUAACAUCCUCAGUGUCAACCAGAUAAGUAAAUGAACUUGCUUGUACCAGGCUACAUCCUAAGACUCGUUUCUUUGGUAUGGUGCUAUAAAAACUCCUCUGUGAAAAUCUGAAGUUGAAUGCUUAAAGAUAGAACAAAGAUCAUGUUAUAUUUCUCUUACUCAAGAAGUAUUGACUGACUACCCUCUUUUUCUAUGAAGCAGGUAUGUUGGAGAAUAAAAAGAAGUGACUUCUGUUUUCAGGAAGGUAUGAGGAUCUAAGGCAUUGAAGCUGCAUACACACUAGGAAAUAACUUGAUUAAGAAGUGGAGAAUAAUUAGUAUACAAUUGCUAGUUAUGAUUUUGUCAAUUAAAACCAUUUUAAUGUAAUCCCAUGUAUAUCAUCCUUACCAUAUUCUCCAUCUCAUCCCCAGGCCCUCUGCUUCAUACUGUGUUUAAUCCUUGCAAAACCCUAUAGUAUAGAUGUAAUACUCUCCUUCCUUUUUAUAGAUGGGGAAACUGAGGAUCUAAAAGGCUAGGGAACUUUCCUGCAGCCAUACUAUCAGAAAGUGGCAGAGCAGGGCUUUGAACUCAUUACUAUGAGGAUCCAAAGCCUAUUUUGUUAAUCAUUCUGCUGUACUACCUCAUUCUUUAUAAUGUGUCCUUCACAUUGCUUGCAUGGUUUUGAGUGUCCAUUUACUAUAUUAUUUUAAUUAUACAAUUACAUGUAUUCGUUGGAGGAAAUUUUAAAAUAUAGAGUUGCUAAAUAAAUAAAUAAAUAAAUUUUAAAUUGGCAGUUGUUGUAGCCUUGUUGACCCAUUGCCAAGAGUAAUCACAAAACAUAAUCAACUACCAAGCCUGUCUACCCAAGGGAGAGAGGGACAGCCCAGUGUGAAUUUCUUUACAGGGUCAGUUCACAUGAGCACAACGGAAUGUCAGCCUCUCAAGGGAUAUACUGAGUACAAAGGAUUCGAGACUGAUUUGCUCACUCUCAGAGGAGAGAAUUAAAGACCCACAAGUUUGAAUAACUUGCAGUGAUAAUUCUCAAGAAGGUAAAAUUAUUCCUCACAGAGAAAAGGCAGCAGAGCAUUCAGAAACUCAUCUAUGCACAUAUAGGUUAUAUUUCAUUUUAUGAUAUUCCUAAAUCCAUUUGUUCAUAAAUUCAGUGACAGUCUAUAGGCAGCCACUACUGCCAUCUGUUGGUGGUCAGCAGAGUUGAUGCAUUUCUACACAGGCGCAUAAAAUGGUUCUUAUCUAAGUCUGUAAGUUGAAUCAUCAUAACAGGAACUUCUGUAUUCGUGAAAAAAAAAAAAGCAUGUGGAAUCAGAUAGACUUGGGUUCACAUCUUGGCUGCGCCUCAUGUGAGAAGUGUGACCACUUUCAUUCUGGGUUUUCCAUUUGUUCGAUGGGGAUAAUAUCAAGUUCAUAUGAAUGUUUUAAGAAUUAUGCAAUGAAUGUAUAUUAGUUUGGAUAGAUGCUAGCCAAAAUAUCAGUGACUUAACACAGUCUCUUGUUAACAUCAUAGUGUCUUGCUCAUAAAACAGUUCAAAGUGGAUGCUUCAAAUCACCAGGCAGCUCUCUUCCAAAAGGUGAUUCUGGACCAAGCAUUUUUUAUCUUAUGACUCUAUCAUCUACAACUCUGGCCUCCAGGGUCACCCUAGAACCCAACAUCAACCAUCAGAGCAAGAGAAGAGGGCAUGGGGGUGUGCAAGGAGGUUUUUAUGAGCCAGACCUGGAACUACAUACAUUACUUCUAUACUUCUUCCAUUUGCCCCAAGUCAGUCUCAUAACUGCAUCUUGCAAGCUGUUUUGUAAAACUGAGAAACAUGGCCCAGAAGUCUCUCUGUCACAGCCAUAAUUUUAAGUAAUAAAAACAUAAGCAUCACUCAAAUGCAGUCGUAAAUUUUUCUUUAUGUAUUAUGUAAUGUUAUUUAUAUUUUUCUCAGUCAUUAAUAUGAUGUAGAUAUUAAAGUAAAAGGCAAUGUGAUAUAAUGAAAAGAGUGGUGAUCUUGGAGAUGUAACCUAAUUCUGUGUGAUCUUGAACAUACUGUACUCAGUAAAUCUGAACUGCAGUCCUUAUCUGGAGACUGGUGGGGUGAGGCCAACAAUGUAUUGUGUCUUCUGUUCAACCCCUAUAUCCCUAGCUCUAAAAGUUUACACUUUUUGCACAAAAGUAAUACAAAACAAAACUCUCAGUGGCUCCCAGAGCAAACAAGUGAUAGAACACAAGUCUUGGAUGGGAUUAGAGGGAAAGGUUUCUAGAAGACAAGCAGCUUUAAGCCCAUUUUUGAGAGGAGAUAGUUCCAAAUAGAGGGAAUAAAGUAUGGAAUGCCAUGCAAGAAAGGCAUAAAGAAGAUCAUAAACAAGAGUCUGGGGGAAGGGGAAUGGUAAGAAUAGCCUGGCUGAAAAGCAAUAUGUUAGAGUGAGGUUGGGGAUGAAUUUAAGAAGUAGUUUGAUAGGUAGAAAGAAAAGACAUUAAUGUUAAGCUUCCAGACUUAGGCGGCCAUAUUAAAUCCAAAAAGAUCCCAGAAGAAAGCCAGUUAUGGUUUCUGUAUGGGCAACUGACAUCAUGAAAAUCCGUUAGUCAUUAUGAAAAGAAAUGUGAUUAGAUCAUAGCACCUGACACGACAGUACCUUCUAUUAAAUUGUUGGAUGUCCAAAAUCUAAAUACUCCAUAAAUAUUCUUCCAAAUAUGCUGGUUAUCUGAAUUCUAUACACAUUUCAAGGAAGAAGAGUUUUAUGUGGUAAUGGAGAAAAGCUGAAGAUGUGGGAAGACUCAAAUAGUUCACAUUGAAAGAGAGCCCUCAUUUCUUGGCUUUAUUUUGUUUUAUUUUUUUUUAAUCAAGGAUAAAAAUGUAGGUAAGACAUGAGUCAGAGCAAACUCAGAAAGUACCUAGAAGCCUUCAGCAUUUGAAGCCUGCUGGCUAGUUUCAUGUGGGUGAAGUUCGGUUUUCAGAAAGACAAAUUGAAAAUAGAACUUGUUUGUUUAGAUUUUGCCAUUCUCUAGGGGACGUGCAAGAAUGUUCAAUGAACUGGGAGGGGGGAAGAAUUUCUUCUUGGGAACUGCCCCAGAGGGCCUUGGUUAGAGAGAAUAUUGCCCUAGAGCAGACCCUGAGCAUGUUGCAGUUUUUCUCUGGACCAAGUCUGAGGAGACAUGGUCUUAGCCAAGGUAAGUGCAAGCAGAAGUUCAGCACAGUCCUCCAAGCAGGUUUCCAGUAAAGGCCUCUGUCACACUCUCAGGAAACACGAGAUGAUUGAAACAUUCCUCGGGAAAGCUAUCGAUGACAACUUUGACUUUUCUUCAGCUCUUGGGAAGCACUAUUUUUGUUUUUAUUUUGAAGAAAAAGGUUAUUUUUGAUGGGUAACUUAUUCACUGCAUAUUAACUUUUUUACAUAAAUAAAAGAUUCUACUAUUAAUAACCACGUGACUGUGGCAAGUCACAAGCUUUUCUGGGCUUCAGGCUUUGGUUUUCUUCUCUGUAAAAUAUAGAGACUAGAUUAUAUAAUCUCCGAGGCCUCUUCCUGAUCUGAAAUGAUAAGUUCUAAUUCAAACAACUUCCUCUUUCUGGUGAAGUAACAUGAAGCCUGAGGUUACUUUAUCACAUUCUUCUAAAUCUCUAUCACUCUUAAAACGUAUAGGAAAAAAACGGACAGCCCAUUGAGCAUGUACCGCGGGAAGAAUCCUCUGUUCAGCGCAACAGCAUGUUGGUUGGGAGCACUGAGCUCAGAGCUACUUUCCUCCCACCCCCAGGACAAGGGGGAGUUCACAUCUUUUUGCUUCUUAGAAACACCAGUGUUUUUAUUGUGGCUGUACAAUAUGUUCUCUGGCUGCACUUUCCAGUUUGGCAAUAGUUUAUUUACUAUCUUAUUCUUUAUUUCAUCUCCAUGUUUUUAGAUGGGUUCUACUUCUUUCUCAGGAGCUAAUUCCCUCUCAAUAAAGACCAUAUAUUAAAUAGAGCAAUUUUAUGUACGGUGUCCAGGACAGAGUAUGUGAUGAUAAUGUGAUAGGCCACGAUGAUGAGACCCAAAAAAAUAUCAAGAUUUCAGAGCCAGUAGCCAUUAGCCAUCUGUGGCUUUUACAUUGAAAUUAGCUAGAAUUAAAUUAAAUUAAAAAUUCAGUUCCUCUGCCCUACUAGCCACAUUUCAAGUACUCAGCAGUCACAUGUGGCUAGUGACUACCAGUUUGGACAGCAGAGAGAUACCACAUUUUUAUCACUGCAGAAAAAGUUCAGUCGGAUAGUGUUGCCUUAGAGAUCAACUAGUCACAGAAUCAUAUUCUUAAGGAAUGUCAGGGAACUCAGAAACCACUUAAAACAUUCUUCUAUCCCGUCCUGGCAGCUCAAAUCUCUCCAGUACCAGAAAAUUUAUCACCUUUACAAAGUGGUUCAUUUCAUUUUUUGAAAACUUUAUAUUAGAAAGUUCUUCCUUAAACUGGGUCAAACUCCAUAUCCCUUUAACUUCUACUCUCCCUCUAAACACAGGAUAAGUGAAUGGUUCUUCCACCUGGAACUUCAUCAGAGCAUCAGUGCCUCUAUUGUAUCGACUUAGACUCCUCUUUUCCAGUUAGCCCAUGCCACAAAUGAGGCAGCUGAAGUAUGGAGCAGUCCUGCCUCACGACUCCAUGGCAAAGCUGGGGCUGAAUCCAGGUUUCCAGUUGGUGUGUUCCAGUCAAACCUUACUGCUUCCAAGUCUAGCAACUAUGUCAUUAAAGAAUGUAUGUAUACAAAUUCA